rnacentral:tRNA from 1 species
GCUCAGUAGGUAGAGCAACUGACUUGUAAUCAGUAGGUCACCAGUUCGAUUCCGGUAGUCGGCACCA